AUCGAACGCUGGCGGCAGGCCUAACACAUGCAAGUCGAACGAGUGGCGGACGGGUGAGUAAUGUCUGGAAAACUGCCUGAUGGAGGGGGAUAACUACUGGAAACGGUAGCUAAUACCGCAUACCAUCGGAUGUGCCCAGGUGGGAUUAGCUAGGAGGUGGGGUAACGGCUCAACUAGGCGACGAUCCCUAGCUGGUCUGAGAGGAUGACCGGCCAAACUGGAACUGAAGCACGGUUCAGAAUCCUACGGGAGGCAGCAGUGGGGAAUAUUGGACAAUGGGGGAAAGCCGGAAUGAGCAAUGCCGAGUGUAUGAAGAAGGUCUUUGGGUUGUAAAGUACUUUUAGGAGGGAAGCGGUAUCCGACGAAAAAGCAACGGCUAACUCCGUGCCAGCAGCCGCGGUAAUAC
rnacentral:rRNA from 1 species